ACAAGGAUAUUCCAAUGGAAUGGAUUUUGACAGCCUCUAAGGAGACACCACACACUUACCUAGCUUGUGAAGAGUUAUCUUAUUCAAAACUGUGGAGUUGCCCCAUGAAGCUAGAAUGAAGGAGAACUCAAGAGACAUCUCUAGGUACCUUCAUUUGGUUUCACUGCUUUGUUUCAGAUCUUCAGAAGAUGGGAACUGGCUCCACAGGAUGAACACCUAAAGAGCAACAUUUUCACUCCAGCUCCAGAAGACAAACAGAAGAAUAGUAGUGGAAAGGGCCACUGAGGACACUGAGGUCAACUCCUACUCAGUGAAAUCUCCAAGUUCAACUAUCACAAACAGAUGGUGA